rnacentral:rRNA from 1 species
AUUGAACGCUGGCGGCAUGCUUUACACAUGCAAGUCGGACGGCAGCACAGAGAAGCUUGCUUCUUGGGUGGCGAGUGGCGAACGGGUGAGUAACAUAUCGGAACGUACCGAGCAGUGGGGGCUAACUAAUCGAAAGAUUAGCUAAUACCGCAUAUCUUCUGAGGAAGAAAGCAGGGGACCAUUUGGCCUUGCGCUGUUUGAGCGGCCGAUAUCUGAUUAGCUAGUUGGUGGGGUAAAGGCCUACCAAGGCGACGAUCAGUAGCGGGUCUGAGAGGAUGAUCCGCCACACUGGGACUGAGACACGGCCCAGACUCCUACGGGAGGCAGCAGUGGGGAAUUUUGGACAAUGGGCGCAAGCCUGAUCCAGCCAUGCCGCGUGUCUGAAGAAGGCCUUCGGGUUGUAAAGGACUUUUGUCAGGGAAGAAAAGGGCGGGGUUAAUACCCCUGUCUGAUGACGGUACCUGAAGAAUAAGCACCGGCUAACUACGUG